ACGCGCUUCCUGCUCCUAUUUCCUACGCAGCAUAUUCCUGCAAUAGCCAAUUGGUCUACGCUACGUUUUGCGAUGGUAAUGUUGGAGUGUUUGAUGCCGAUACCCUUCGACUAAGAUGUCGCAUUGCCCCAUCAGUGUAUUUGCCAUCUGCAGUGUUGAAUUCGUAAGUAACUGAAAUUUAUGUUUUCGCAAAAUGAUUACAAGACUAAAGCUUAAGAGUUCUUUUUAUCAAAUUCUACCAUUAUACUCGUAAACGUUGUAUGAAGUGACAUUACAUUUUUUUUUUGUCAUUGUCAUUUCAAACUUCUGCAGAAGCCAAGCUAUAUACCCGCUCGUCGUUGCCACACAUCCAUUAGAUCCAAACCAAUUAGCCAUUGGGUUGUCUGACGGAUCUGUUAAAGUAAUCGAGCCAACAGAAUCAGA
rnacentral:lncRNA from 1 species